rnacentral:lncRNA from 1 species
AGCAAUUCUCCCACUUCAGCCUCCAAAGUAGCUGGGACCACAGGAGGGCACUGUAUUGCCAGGUCCCUGGAUGUGGUGUGAAGACUGUUCUCUACAAAACUCUAGAAGGCACGAUUUUCAUCAGAUUCACAGCCAGCGUGGCCAUACGCAGUAAGCCUGUAUUAGAUAGAGACGGUGUCUCCCGUCAGGGCAAAGACUUGGUGCUUUUG